AGUUUCCAGGGAUGGGAAUCGAACCCACAGUGUUCCGCUUACCGGGCAGAUGCCACGUCCACUAGGACAUUAC